GUACAUAUUCUGUCUGGUACAUAUUCUGUCUGGUACAUAUUCUGUCUGGUAUACAGAAUAUGUACCAGACAGAAUAUGUACCAGACAGAAUAUGUA
rnacentral:pre_miRNA from 1 species